GCCACCGCAGGUGAUGAGCCUGCGAGCACUCUAGACAGACUGCCCGUGCAAGCGGGAGGAAGGUGGGGAUGACGUCAAGUCAGUAUGGCCCUUACGCCCUGGGCUGCACACGUGCUACAAUGGCAGGUACAGAAGGAAGCAAUACCGCGAGGUGGAGCAAAUCCUCAAAACCUGCCCCAGUUCGGAUUGGAGUCUGCAACUCGACUCCAUGAAGUCGGAUUCGCUAGUAACGGCGUAUCAGCUACGACGCCGUGAAUACGUUCCCGGGCCUUGUACACACCGCCCGUCACAUCAUGAAAGCUGUCUGCACCCGAAGUCGUUGAUCUAACCCGCAAGGGAGGAAGAUGCCGAAGGUGUGGGUGGUGAUUGGGAUGAAGUCGUAACAAGGUAGCCGUAGGGGAACCUGUGGCUGGAUCACCUCCUUU
rnacentral:ncRNA from 1 species